rnacentral:lncRNA from 1 species
UACUGUGACUCUAUGACAUUUCUUUCAUCUAUUCUCACUUGGAUGGGCAUUUGGGAUGCCAUUGUGAUAGUCUUCAUAACUCUCGGUUUUAGUAGUUUCAUGGUAUUCCAUCAAUUUUCCCAAUCAAUUCUCUAUUUUUUUAAAUUUGGUUGUAUCGAUCAGGGUUGAAGUAAGCACCUUCAUACAAAUAGUUUUUCUACACUAAAUAUUAUACUUUAGAUAAAUAGAAAUGGAAUUAUUAAGUUGAAAGAUAUGAACAUAAUAGAGAUUUCUAAUUUGCAUUCUGAAGAAUAACUCCAGCAAUUGUACAAUUAUUGGGUUGCCCUAAGAACUAACUUAUCUAUUUUUGGUUGUUAAUUUAAGAGAUAGUUAUGUUUUGUUUUUAGGCUUCACUGACUUCAAUCAAUCAAUGUUGACAUAUUAUGGAACUUAAGAUUUGGCAUCUUAUCUUCUGACCUAAUAAUUUUCCAUUUGAUGAGGAAAGGCAUUAAGCCCAGACAGUCUGUGCAUUUCCCAGAACAUGGGUUGAUUUUAUGUGCACAAAAAGUGGACAGUGAGCCCUUCAACACACUCUUCUUAAUGGUAAGCCUAUUCUGCAUUAUAACACUACAUGCAUUUUCUCAAGGACUUCUCUGUAUUUUGCAAACAAGAACUGAGGGUAUUUGGUUGAUGUGGAACCUGAUUCACGGAAAGCUGACAUAACAAACUUGAGUCUAAACAGGCAGUCCCUGGACAAGUUUGUUCAGAACCUUGACCUUUUAACUCUGUCUUUUGCUUUAACAUUAUGUAGGAUCGAUUUUUUUCACUCAGCCAGAACUAAAAAAGAAAAAACUUUAACAGACAUUUGAGAAUGAAUUGUUACCUCUUACUCAUCUUGAUAUAUAAGCCCUUGACUGUCAAUGCUAAGCAAGGAAAUACCAAGGGGAGAAAUUCAGUUAUAUUGAAACACCAAACACAAGCACCAUACAACAAGAAAUGCAGACCACUUUAAACUGCUAAUUCUGGUAGCUGUGAACUUUUGAAUGAAUUAUGUGAGAUGAAAGUUCAUUUUGAUAUCGGUUGGAUCUUAAGACACAUCUUCCCAUUGAAAUUAUGUGAUCUGCUGAUUAUGUUCUUGGUGAAGAAUGAAAAAAAAAUCUAUUUAAUGCAAAAUAGACUUACACAAUGGCAAUAAUAGUGCUAUUUCAACCACACCUCACUUGUUUCAGUGGGAGAAAACCUUUCCAGCUCCAGACUUUCACACCAGGACCACUUCAAAAGCAGAUGUGACCAAUUCUGUUGGUAGCAGGAGAUGCAUAAGGGACAGGCCACAUGACAAAAAAGCUAGAGAUGCAAGCAGGUUUCAAAACCAGUAUCUUAAUUCUGCAUUUCUAUAGGAUGAAUGUCAUUUUUCUAUCUGCAUAAAGGAUGUCAGACAGUCCUCAGGUUCUCUGAGUUGAAAAAGAAGGAGCAGUUACUCUCUGGCAAGUGGGAAUCUGAAUGUAGACCAUCCCUCAUUCCUUCAUUACACAUGUAGACCUGCAUCGUGUGCAAGAGAGCAGUCUCUCUGCAGGUGGCACAAGACCCAAGAUAACACAUGGAAAGGAAGUGUCAAUGAGGAGGGAGGAAACAUAUGGCAGGUUAGGUCUGGGUAAGGAAUAUCUUGAUUUGUAGAAGAUGCACCCCACGUAGUCAUAGUGAAGAAUGAGGAGUCAUACUCAAGCCAUGUCUUUAGCAUGUAAGUGGGAGAAUCUGCUUUAAUUCCUGGCUGCCACAUCUCUGAAAGGAGGUUAUUAGAUUCAAUGAUUUCUCAAGGCCUUCUCAGCUUCAACAUGCUGUCUUGUGCUGCCAGAAUGCAUACACAAUACAGUUGUAGGGAGGGGUCAAGCAGGAACCUGGCAGAGACCUAUAUAUGGAAAAUGAAGACUUGAGAAGAAAUGACUGGGUACCAGCCAGAGCCCAGUGAAAAACAGAUCCCAAGAUGGAGAGUGGGAUUUGGAAGCAAGAUAGCGGCCAUGCUCAAAAACCAUGCUUUGACAGGC